rnacentral:SRP_RNA from 1 species
GUAGUAGGGAGGAUUGGGGCGCUAGCCGUGCCCUGUCUUUGAAACCGGCUAUAUGCAGAGGUCAGUAACUGCUGGGUAAAUCUCUAAGUGGACGGUACUCGCUUGACUUGCGGAAAUGAAAUCACGCCGAAGCGGGUGGAUACAGAACUGAGGUUGUCCGAAGGGAUGAUUCUCAAGUACUAACUGCCGAAAGGGAUGAGGUCCGGGAGGGAGCAAUCCUAAGGUAGAGCAUCCACGCUGCGUCGUCUACGUGGCGGAUCUUGCUUGACUUGAGAUGAGGUCGUUUGCCUAGACUGGAACUGGCAGAGCUGCUAC